rnacentral:rRNA from 1 species
AACGUAGGUCACAAGCGUUGUCCGGAAUUACUGGGUGUAAAGGGAGCGCAGGCGGGCGAUCAAGUUGGAAGUGAAAUCCAUGGGCUUAACCCAUGAACUGCUUUCAAAACUGGUCGUCUUGAGUAGUGCAGAGGUAGGCGGAAUUCCCGGUGUAGCGGUGGAAUGCGUAGAUAUCGGGAGGAACACCAGUGGCGAAGGCGGCCUACUGGGCACUAACUGACGCUGAGGCUCGAAAGUGUGGGUAGCAAACAGG